AUGGAUUGUUCAUCUGCCCAUCUAUCUCCAUACAGCAUUCAGCUGUUGACAGGCAUUCAGUGCUUAUCUGUGCUGAGGCCGUACUUUCUGAGCGUGGACUUGAUUAACUUUGAGAUGACUGACAAGGUGAGCGGGGGAAACGGCCAGAAUCAGGUGACACCGCCACACUGCUCUCCAGCCCCGGUACAACCAGAGAUCUGAGGGUGGAUUUCCAAAAGUAUUUCAAAGUCUUUCAGCAGAUCUGGGGUCAGAUAUGCCUAGUCCAUGCACUUAAAAACCCAGCCUAAUGGGAUGAAAUGAGUUCAGAUCAGGACUUUUGCACUGAUGGAUUUAAUGAAUACAGAUCACAUAAAUGUUCUGUACACAGGGAAGGCUGGGAAACCCUGUGGCUAGAGCGGUAGUUAAGGAGGGUUUUCAGCGAAUGAGUUCCAUAAAGUGAUGAGAGUUGGCAGGCUAAAGACAUUUAUCUGAGGAAAAAUAAUAAUCUCAGGGGGUUCUUCCAGUGCAGAGCAUAUAAUGCCUUAGGCAUAGCGACACAUCAAGAAUGCAAUAAGCCUCUGAUAUCAGACAGCCAAACUCCAUGUCGGACCACUCCGCGUUCAAACAGUUCUCCACCAGUGGCCCAUCAAUUUCACACACGGCUCCCCAAUGAGAUCAGGAGACACCUGAGAAUAUACACAGGUGUAACUAAAAGCUUUUUAUACCGACGUAACUGGUUUGGAAGAAAGAACCCCGGGAGUGUUGCGCUUGUCCUUUAAAAACUGCUCAUUGUAUUCCCUGCUGUCAUGAAGGCCCUGUGAGUAAGCACGAGGGAGCGGCUGUGAGCGGGGAGCCUGUCUCUUCCCACCAAGGUUUACAGGGUAUGUUAUUAUAAAUAUGCUACAUGAAACCAAUACAUGUUUCCCUGUUAUCUUUAAGAGCCUUCAAUAAUACAGAAUGCCCCGCAAAGCCCAUUCUGCUGACAAAUACGCUUAGCCGGAGAAUGGACGGAUGAGACGCCACCGACUCUAAUGGGCUUAUUACAUAAAAAUGUCUGCAGGGGAGAAAUAAAUUCCCCCUUUACUCCUCUUUGCCCCCA
rnacentral:lncRNA from 1 species